rnacentral:rRNA from 1 species
AGUGAACGCUGGCGGUAGGCCUAACACAUGCAAGUCGAACGGCAGCACAGUAAGAGCUUGCUCUUACGGGUGGCGAGUGGCGGACGGGUGAGGAAUACAUCGGAAUCUACUUUUUCGUGGGGGAUAACGUAGGGAAACUUACGCUAAUACCGCAUACGACCUACGGGUGAAAGCAGGGGAUCUUCGUACCUUGCGCUAUUGAAUGAGCCGAUGUCGGAUUAGCUAGUUGGCGGGGUAAAGGCCCACCAAGGCGACGAUCCGUAGCUGGUCUGAGAGGAUGAUCAGCCACACUGGAACUGAGACACGGUCCAGACUCCUACGGGAGGCAGCAGUGGGGAAUAUUGGACAAUGGGCGCAAGCCUGAUCCAGCCAUACCGCGUGGGUGAAGAAGGCCUUCGGGUUGUAAAGCCCUUUUGUUGGGAAAGAAAAGCAGCAGGUUAAUACCCCGCUGUUCUGACGGUACCCAAAGAAUAAGCACCGGCUAACUUCGUG